AUGCAACACGGGGGGGGGGCUGCCAUUCAAGAAAUACAGGUCUUAAAACCCUGCUGGACAGACCGAACUAGUCAUACCAUUCUCAGGAUUGUGACCUGCGUUUUGAUCUCCAAGAGAUUAGUAUUUGGGGAAACAUUGGAAGCAGAAGGUGAAAACAACAUAAAUGGGGGUGGAGUGGGGAGGAAUCAAGGUAAGCUAUGAUGCCAUAUUGUGCUGGAGGAGUCUACCUUUCUGUAGCGCACUGCACAUAGCCAGCCUAUCUUUCCUUUUGUUGCUCCCCAGGUUUCGGUGCCAUUUACUUGGACAUUAUGUCCUUGAACUCAGUGGAACUUACUUUUGAGGAAACAGUUACAAUUCAAAAAGAAUGAACCAGUAGGUGCGUACUUGGGUUUGCAGUGAGAUCAACAGGAUACUGUACACUCCUAAGUAAGCACAUGCAAGCUAAGAUCAACAGUGGGUUGCCAUAGCUGACAAAAACUUGAACUACCUUUGUGUUCUGGGUAGUUUAUAUCAGCAGAUCAAAUAUGAAAGACCUCAUUGUGCCUUGUAGGAAGUCUAAUUUAUUAUUUUUAAGUCUCUCUUCACUGAGUGGUUUUGCACAGAUCUUGCUUCUCACCCAAGACACACUGCGGGAAGAUUCCUACUGAAUUUUGCAUAUAGUCCUUAGUAAAGGUCAGUGUACCCUAUGCAAAAUCCACAAAGCAACAUAGAAGACACUUUAUUAUGUUAUGUGCCAUCAAAUCACAGCCAGCUUACUACAACCCCAGCAGGGCUUUCAAACUAAAAAUAUUUAAGGUGUGGUUUUACCAGUCACACCCAGCCCUGUAAAUUUCCACAGUCAAGCAGGGAUUUGAAUCCAGAUCUCCUGAAUUCUAGCCCAUCUCUCUAUCCAAUACCACACUGGGUAACCCCUCCCCCUUCCUUCAUCCUCUAUGUUACAUCCUUGCAAACUUCUUUGCAACAGAUUACUCUGGAGGUUGCACUUGGAGGCUAUGGGGAUGCUGAUAGCAUAUUCGUAUCUGGAUCCCUCUGAGUAAAAACUCAACUCAGCUCUUCCAAAAGGCUGUAUCUUUUGUUGUCAAAAAUACAGUUCUAUGGGCAAUAGAAGAAAAAGAAGCACUUCUCAUUUUCCUUGCAGACGUUUUCUUACAGAACGUUUAGAUCAACAGCUUUCAGUCAGAACAGCUUCUGAGUUUUUCUGCUGCAAAAGGGCAGCCAAAAACAGGACACAGAUCUUAUUGCUUCAGACUACGACAUCUACAAUCCCCAGCUAGCAUGGCCCCGGGGGAUCCUUGGCAUUUUAGUCUUUAAAAUGAAAAGGAAAAAGGAACUUUUCCAAUCUGUGGCCAAGAAAGGUACAAGAAAUUCUUUGCCCAGUGGCUUUGGACAACAGAGUUUAGACAUGAGAAGUGCCUAAAAAGAAUGUACUAUGUAGGAAAACGCUGAGUAAGACCAGAUCCUUUACCCAGCACCCUCUGUCCCAGCACAUAAACACCCGCACAGUGAACUCCAAGCACUGCAAACAUGUUAACAAGCAGCACAGAGGCAAAAAAACGAACUAUGGAAGGCCAGGAAUGUUCAGCUUCCAGGCCUUGAGAAAUCCUCCUCAAUGCUGCCAUUUCCACACUCAGCGCCCGUCUUAAAGAAGAGCCUCACAAGGUCUGUCCAAAGGCUAGUUAGUAAUUAGAUCCAGAAUUCUAUUCCAGAAAGGUCCAACUAGGAGUCUAUGGGAAGCCCCCAAAACUCUUCGUACUCGUGGCCUUUUUGCCAUAGGCUUAUGUGGUGUAUUUUUUUUUCAUACAAGCAAUUCCUGCUAGUCUACCUGUAGCCCACUUGACUAUACUGUACCUUGAAGACAUUUAACACAAUAACAGCAUUAGGAGAAAUAAAUGGGGGGAGGGAGAUUUAAAAGCUGCUAGG
rnacentral:lncRNA from 1 species